ensembl:lncRNA
CUUAAGUGAAUGUGGUUUCACUGUACUUAUGUAAAGGAUCAAUUAAGAUAAUCUUGGAUUAAUCCCAUUACACUCUUUGGUCUUGUUUAUGGCUUUCUUUGUUGUCAAAUUCACACAAACUGUGAAAAAACAGUAUCCUGUUUGUAGUAGCGUCAUUACCAUGUGCUACAGAAUUUCCUCCCCUGUAAAAAUGUAAAUAUAUCCUUUAUUGUGUCCCUCUGCUUACAGAUAUUCCAAAGAUUUUGUAUAAUGUUGCUUUAAAAAUAUUGUUCUUUAGGUUCUGAUUUUAUACAUCAAGGGUCGCCUUGAUAUGCUUCUGUGAAAUUUGUGGUGGUGCAAGCAAAAUAAACUUUCAGACUUAAUUUUUAGGAAUAUCAAGAUUUCUGGGAGGGAAUCUAACUUAGAAAUUUUAAUUCCUAAUGAAGAUUAAAAAAUGGGACUCUUGGUUAUCUGCUAUGAGUGAGUUUACCAAAUGAGACUGUACAAAGCACCCUAAAGUAAAGUGCACUUACCAUUUUCAGUUCAAAACUAUUAGCACAACAUUUAUGGGAUCAUAAAAGUACUUCUUGUUAAAAGAAUGCUUUGAUGAGCAAACCUGCUGAGAGCACUGAGAAGUACGGUAGUUUUGUAAUUUCAAGUCGAGCUGUGAUCAUAUUUUUGAUGUGUCAGUACGAAGUGGAGAAAUCUGUUUCAUUUCAAGAAAAAGUGCGUCUGAUUCAUUUUCACUCGGUCAAUUGCUGUGGCUAAUCCAGACGCAUUCUCAGCUUGCAGUCUUUCUUGCGUGUUGUGUUUUUUACACUUUUCCCUUAAAGGCAGGCCUGGAAAGUAGCGUUUUCUGUAGAUGUCAGCUUCUGUCUGGUGUGAUGCUCCAUUCUUCUGGUGAUGUCACGUGCAGCACUGAGUAAUACUGGAAAACUGAAGAGGUCUCUUAGAAUAAGGCAUAUGAUUGAUGCAUUGAAGGUGCAGGGCCUCACCGUAUGCAACAGAGGAGAUGGUAAGAUACCUGAAGAAAUGAGAAAGCUAAUAAAGUUGUGUCAUAACAUCCAUGAAAUUGCAGAUGUUAAGCAGGAAAAAGUCAUAAAUAGCUGCUUCUAUGCUAGAAAUAUUGGAUAUCACCUCUGAAGUAAAGAUGCUCGGUUUUAGUCAGUUUGAGUAGAGAGACACAGUUUAUGCACAGAAGGACCCUGAAACAGUGAUGAGACUGCUCAUGAACUGCUUGCACAUUGUUUACUCUUCUCUGCUCCUCCCAGCAUGACCUGCAGGCUGGCAUGGAGAGUAGAAAGGGGUUUGCGGCUGUUUUGCUUGCUUGCCAUGGUUUGUUGGUUUGUUUGUUUUCUUUUUUGUUUUUGUUUUUGUUUUGCUUUUUGCUUUGUUUUAAUAGCCCUGUAAUUUUGGCCUGUCGGGCUGUUCCAGAGCUAGCCGAAGAGACUGCAAACUAGGAUGGUGACAGACAUCUUCACAGAUGUAUUGGGAUGGGUUUUCUCAAUAGUAUGUAGAAGUUUGUUUUGAUGAGCACUUCUUUAAAAUAAGAUCUUAGACUGUAAUUUUUUGAGAACUCAAAGAAGUGUGGAUGUUAUUUCUUCAAUGACAAAUAUUUUAUAUUGGUUAAUUAAUUUUUUUUUAAAAAAUAACUUCUUUGGCAGUGCUUUUACAGCAAGUAAUGAUGUUCAAAGACAUGCCCUUGCUGGAGGGAAGGUGAAAGGGCCAUUUAAUUAAAUUUGUAAUCUCAUUUCAAGAGAUCUGCAUUCAAAUUUACAUAAGUUAGUAUUUAAAGUCUAAUUCCUCAAUCAAAUUGUUUACGUUAUAAGUACAGCAUAAAAUUUGGUACAGUUAAAAAGCCCACGUAGUGAUCAGCAUGGGACACACAAUAGAUAACAUAAGGAUGACCUCGAUAGGUAGUUCUGACUUUGUAACGUGCUGAGCUAUCAGCGUCCUAAACUUAUGAAAAUUCACUACCACUUUAUGUAAAAUCUAAUUUAAUUUUAUAUACACGAGACAGGAAAAAAAAAACUAUAGAAAGAAAGAUGUGUAGUGUUGUUACUUCUGCACAUACUUGUUUAAUGCUUUAGAUUUUGUUGAAAGGGAGGUCUGCUGACUACGUGCUUUGGUUGCAUGCAGUUCCUUCAGUUCCUUAAGAAUGUAUGUGUUUUGUUGAUCAGCUUAUUACCUGCCAAAACAGCAGUUAGUAUUAAGUUUACAGAAUGUUAUCGGAAUACUUAAGUGCAUUAUUUAAAACGUGUGAAUAAACUUUAUCUUGGAUAUGUUUUUAUUGUGGUG